rnacentral:rRNA from 1 species
AUUGAACGCUGGCGGCAGGCCUAACACAUGCAAGUCGAGCGAGCGGCGGACGGGUGAGUAAUGUAUGGGGACUGCCCGAUAGAGGGGGAUAACUACUGGAAACGGUGGCUAAUACCGCAUACUAUCGGAUAACCCAUAUGGGAUUAGCUAGUAGGUGGGGUAAAGGCUCCCCUAGGCAACUAUCUCUAGCGGGUCUGAGGGAAUGAUCAGCCACACGGAAAGUGGGAACCGGCCCAGACUCCUACGGAGGCAGCAGGGGGGAAUAUUGCACAAGGGGGGCAAGCCUGAUGCAGCCAGGCCGCGGUUAUGAAGAGGGCCUUAGGGUUGAAAAGUACUUUCAGCGGGGAGGCGUUACCCGAAGAAGAAGCACCGGCUAACCCCGUGCCAGAGCCGCGGUAAUAC